rnacentral:rRNA from 1 species
GAGUUUGAUCCUGGCUCAGGAUGAACGCUGGCGGCGUGCCUAACACAUGCAAGUCGAACGGGGUCUUAGUGCGGAAGUUUUCGGAUGGAAGGAUUAAGACUUAGUGGCGGACGGGUGAGUAACGCGUGGGUAACCUGCCCUGUACAGGGGGAUAACAGUUGGAAACGGCUGCUAAAACCGCAUAACAUGGAGAUACCGCAUGAUAUUUCCAUCAAAUAUUUAUAGGUACAGGAUGGGCCCGCGUCUGAUUAGCCAGUUGGCAGGGUAAUGGCCUACCAAAGCGACGAUCAGUAGCCGGCUUGAGAGAGUGACCGGCCACAUUGGGACUGAGACACGGCCCAAACUCCUACGGGAGGCAGCAGUGGGGGAUAUUGCACAAUGGGGGAAACCCUGAUGCAGCGACGCCGCGUGAGUGAAGAAGUAUUUCGGUAUGUAAAGCUCUAUCGGCAGGGAAGAAAAAGCGCGCGAGCGCCCUUGACAGUACCUGACUAAGAAGCCCCGGCUAACUACGUGCCAGCAGCCGCGGUAAUACGUAGGGGGCAAGCGUUAUCCGGAUUUACUGGGUGUAAAGGGAGCGUAGGCGGCCAUGCAAGUCAGAAGUGAAAACCCGGGGCUCAACCCUGGGAGUGCUUUUGAAACUGUGCGGCUAGAGUGUCGGAGGGGUAAGUGGAAUUCCUAGUGUAGCGGUGAAAUGC